GGAAUUUCAUUUUUUCUAACCUAAAAAGUUUAAUAGAGAUAAGUGAAACUUAAUCCGAUUAUAAUAGUCCAAUUUUCCCUUAUUAUAGUCGAAAUCUACUUCAAAUAUGUUCAAAUUAUAUCUAUUUUUCCUUUCUUUGCAGUGGAUUUGUUCAGCCAAUUCAGAAACGCCAUAUCAGAUUCAAAGUUAACUAUGCUCAAAGCUUCGCGUUUGAUGCUGCCAUAGGAAGAUUGGUUCACCAAACAAGUGUAAAUCAGAAUAUCUUGAAUUUAGAGUUCCUUUUUUUGGUGUGAGCGUGAAUAAUGGGGUCGAGGUGGAAAGGAAAAGGAGCAGAAGUUAAAGCUCUUGCAGAUCCAAUUUCAGAAAUAAUCAGCCAACUCCAGUCUUCUCUGAUCAGCUCUAAUUCUAAAGGACUGCUUUCUGGUACGGGUGUGCUUCUAAAAGCAGAUGCAGAACUAACUGACCUUCUCAAUCGUGCAUGUUUU
rnacentral:misc_RNA from 1 species